AAAAGAUGGAGGCAUUGCGGGCACCGCGGGUGCAGCCAGGAUGCCGGAAACUGCUGCCUGAUUCUGGGAGCCUUACAGAGAAAACAGGAAGAGGGUGUUUGCGUUUCUAGAAGGAGAAGUGACAUAAAAUUGGAGCAACAUUAAAGAAACCCAGAUGCUAAGCAGAGGUUGGCCCCUUCGUGGGAAUCCCGCUGGAAACUGUACUGAUGAUAACCUUGAGUUCCCACUCGUGGACUAAUGAAAGUGGAGGGUCUCAUCUGUAUUUAUUGUGGGCUCCUGCAUUUGACACCAGCCCGAUUAUCACUCCAGACUCAACAUCUGCCCCCGAGCGACUGGGCAUCAGUCACCUUUCAAGAGUUACCGGCGGAGCCCAUCUGACCUGGAGGUGCUUCCUAAAUGAUCGAAUCCUUCUCUAAGGAAAAUUUAUUUAAAAUAACAAAAUAAAAUACAAUGCCA